CAUUAAUUUUUUUAAAUAAAAACUUUCUGUAUUAAGAAAUACCUAUAAAAUUAGUGUAGUCAUAAUCACAUUUGAUUACUGCCAAAUAGGAAUACAAAACUAGAAUUUAUUGAUUACCAUCAAAUUCUAACUGCUUUACAUGUCAUCUCAUUUGUUCCCCAGAAUGACACUAUGAGAAAAGGAUUGUAUUAUCUAGUUUUAUUUGAAAAACAACCCAGAAAUAUAGUGGCUUACAACAAUAAUUAAAUUUGAUCUCUUGCUGUAUGUAUGGGUCAGGAAUUCAGUAGUGACUAAGCUGAGUUGUUCUAGUUCAGACUCUCUCACAAGGUUGCAGUGAGUGUCCAAGGGGCUGCAAUUGUCUGAAGGCUUGACCAGAACUGGAGGUUUUAAGAUGGAACACUCACCUGGCUGCAGGUUAGGGCUGGCUGUUGGCAAGAGGCCUCCAUUCCUCUACUCCUGGGCCUCUCCACAGGCUGCUUGAGUAUCUUCAGACAUGGUGACUGUCUUCACUCAGGAUGAGUGAACUGAGAGAGAGAGAGAGAGAGAGAGAGAGAGAGAGAGACAGAGAAAGAGAAGAGAGAACAAGAAAGAGAGAAAGAGAGAGGUAAAAGGAGAGAAAGAGAACCAGGCAAAAAUAUUCAUUUCUACCAUAGCUGCUUAUUAGAAGUAAGUCACUACAUCUGGCCCAUAAUAAAGAAGAGUGAAAAUAGAUUCUGUAUUUUGAAGGGAGGAAUGUUAAAGAAUUUUCAGACCUAUUUUAAAAUCACCGCAAAGCAAAGGGUUAAUAUCUUCAAUUUGCAGAUGAAGUAAUGGAGACAAUAUGUCCAAGAAAACAAAAUAAGUUGUAUAAUUUAUUCACUGAUGUUCUUCCACAACCCCCAAUCUAUGUGACAUUCUUGCUUUAAGAAAGUAGAUUAUAAAAGCAGUGUCACCAUUGAUUUCUGUGUGUGUGUGUGUGUGUGUGUGUGUGUGUGUGUGUGUGUGUGUGUGUGUGUAUAAGUAAAAUGGGCCUUCUAGUAAAAAUUUGAAGACUUUAUUUUCUGGAAUUAUUUGUUGUAGUCAUGUUUUUGGAGUAGUCAUUUGUAUGCAAUGCAUCAGAUAGGGAAAGUGAAUUUCUCUCUGGAAUUUGUAUAUGUGGAAAACAUCAUCAAUCAUAGUCAUCACAAAGCAAUUAAGUACCUAAUUGUGCAUAGCGCUGAGUUUGCUACUGAAACAGAAAACUUAGUAGGUAGGCCUGCUGCCUACCCUCUUGGGGCUUGGAAUCCAAGAACUCAGUAUAUGAAUGAAGAAUGGUAAAGAGAGCAAGAACCCAAGGCAUAAGCAAAUUCCUUUGAAAUAUGCUUGCAGUAGUUGGGGGAGGGUAGAUUCAGAGGAAAGAAAAUGAAAUAAGCUGAGAUGGUUAAGAAAGGACAAAAGGUAAAAUGUUGAAUUAAAAAAAUGACCUGCAUUUUUAAAGUUUUUUUUUUUUAUUUUUUAAAUUACUUUUUUAGAGAAAGAGUGUGUGCCUGCGUGUGUGAGUAGGGGCGGGGCAGAGAGAGAGGAGAGAGAAUCUUAAGCAGACUCCACACUUACUUAUGGAGCCAGAUAUGGCGCUCAAUCCCAUGACCUGAGCUGAAAUUAAGAGUUGGACAGUCAACAAACUGAGCCACCCAGGCACCCCUUGUUUUUGUUGUGUGUGUAUGUUUUUUUUUAAAUAUAAAAAUAAUUGGAAAAAGGCACAUGUUAUUCUUGGGACUCAACUCUCACUGAGUUUGUACCUUUAUUUUUAGGUAUUUUUUUUUCCUCUGAAGCAGAAUUUCCUGUCAUUUUAGUCCCCUUUCCAUGUCCAUGCUGGUUUAUAAUCCCUGGUUCCAUCCCUACCCCUCAGUGAGAUUAUUACCUAAGCAUAUGGAUAGAUGUAGCUGAGGUUUAUGUCUGUUAUUUCCAUGCAGAAAGGGAGGAGGAUGCUGCUUCUGCUUUUCAUAUUCAGUUGUAAGUAUUUUCAGUCAAUCAUGCAUUUAUAAUCCAACUGGGAAGAUAUGAUUCAGACACAAUAGCCGGUCUGCUGCAAGAGUCUGCUGAAAAAUUGAUCAGCUGGCCAAGUUGUGCUUUUUUUUUUUUAAUUUAGAUUUUGCUUUCUUUCUGGAAAGAAGACAAAAAAGUCCCCAAACCAGCAGCAGCAGGUGCUGCCAAAAUGGUAUUUUUCUUAUCUGUGCUGAUUUCAAGGGGAGAGCAAAAGAAUGUGUAAUUGCUUCUCUCUCAGGCUGCUGGGAUGGCGCCCGUCUCUCUGGCAUUAUCCACUUAUUUGAUCUAGGUAAGGAAAGAAGCAGAAAUAAAUUAAAAAUGCAUUUUCCCAAGGGCUCAAAGGACGUUAUUCACACAUGCUUCCUUCCACCAAUCUCUGCCAACUGUGUGUAAAUAUAUAUUUAGGGGAAAGCAGCGAAGGUCAAAAGCUCUCCUGGAUAUUCUCCCUCUUCCAUUUAUUUACCUUCUUAAGCACACAUAGAAAGAUAGCAGAAUAGCAAAGAAAUUAAGUAAAAACCAUGAUCGCACAACAGUGUCUUUUGAAUGUGGUAAUUUGAGGAGAUUCAUCUAUUUAGACUACAGAUGUCAAUAUCCAAGUUUCUGAAAACCAAAAAAAAAAAAAGGCAAAUGGUAAGUGAUUUGUUUAUUUCAAGAGUUGUGUUAUAGAACAAUUGGAUGGGAGAAAAGAAUUCUUAACCCAGGAGAGAGACAAAUGGGAGGAUGGUUCUGUUCUCAUUUUGGCAUUGGACAGAAGGCAGCCUUAUGGCCCUGCUGUCACCUCCUAUCUAUUCAGGCUUCGUUUUGCUGGCCUCCCAUGGAUUAGGUUCUGACUCAUAUCAUAGACUCCCUCCCUUGAUCCUCCUUUUAUCUCAAGCCUUUAUCUUUUAUUCUCACUUUCCAUAGAGUCCCAAAAUUCAGAGGAAGCUCAAUGUCAUCUCUCCUAUUGUCCCAAACUUUUGCAGAUGUGACCCCUACCCAUAUUUUAAGAUUCUCAGUAGUCAUCGAUGUCUCUUAACUCUAGCAGUAAGAAUGUUCCAAAUAUUACAUCUAAAUUCUUCCUAGUAUAAUAAAAUCAUUGCUUUUUGUUGUAUUCUCAAUACCAUGGAGCAAUUGUUUCCCAUCGCUGUUAGCAUUCUCCAGUAUAACUAAUAAAAGUCUACUUGGAGUUUUUGUCAUAGCCUCUAUUUUUCAAUUUUUUGAAGGCAUUCUUACUGCUUAAUUUAGACUACUAUUAGUUUCGAUACAUUGUUGGUGAAUUUACCUUUUUCUCUCCUUUUGCCUGUUAAUUAUUCAAAACCUGGCUCAUAUAUGCCUUCUUCUGUGAAGUCAGUGACUCACUCCUAGAGAAACUUAGAGCCUUUAAACUCAGCAUAUGCCAUCACACUUUGUACCUACUUUUUUAGCAUUUGUGUGUGUAUGUAUGUGUACAUCUUUACAUGAUUUUCUGAGUCAUUCCACAAUUCCUCAAGUGCAGAGAUCCUGUGUUAUUAUCUUUGUCUUCAGAUGCAAGAUAUGGCACACAGUAGAUGUUCCAUACAUGCAUCUCGAAUGGACACAUUGCCGGUACCAGAUAAAUGCCUGAUGUGUACUUAGAGGUCAUGAUAAAUGCAGAACCAGGAUAAUACUCUCCUUCACAGGCCAGAGUUGUGUAAUAUCCUGCACUAAUGUCCAAUAUAAGGACUGUCAUCUUGCCUGGAAGUGUGUUUCCCUAUGUGGAGUCUUUUAGCUUCAAAAAGCCAAACACAUUCAGAAUAUGCCCUUUAUUAUCAUAUCAAUUCUGGGUGAAGGAUAAAUGAUCCACAUGUAAAAAGUUUGAGGGAGCAAUCUAUAAGACUGCCCUUACUUCUGACACCAGUUCCAAGUUCAGGAGUUUUGCAAAGCCACUCUCAGAUUCGAUAAUUUGAUAGAACUCAGAGAACUCACUGAAAGCUCUUAUACCCAUUACAAGGGACAGGAUACAGAUUAUAAUCAGGUAAGAGACACAUGGGACAAACUCUAGGUAUCCAAAUGUGGAGUUCCCAGUUGUCUUCUCCCCAUGCAGUCAUAGCCAGCAUUUACACCUUCUGGCAAGGAUGUGUGACAGUAUGCACAGAAUAUUGCCAAUCAGAGAAGCACACACAAGCCUUGGUGUCCAGAGUUGUUGUUGUUGUUGUUGUUUGUUCUUGUUUUGGGGGGAGGACUUCAUCACAUAAACAUGAUUCAUUGCCCAUAUGGCUGACAUCAGUCUUAAGCUCCUCAGGAGGUAGAGCUGAUAGUGUGUCACCCAAGUCCCCACCUUGAAUCAUAGUAUUGGUGUGGCUCAUAGCCCCACAGCAAAUCACAGCGUUGAACUUUCUGGCAUGCCAGCCCUGCUCUUACCCAAGACAGUCCUACCAGGUAUGACAUUCCAGGGGUUUACAGAUUAGUUCCCAGAACCUGAGGGCAAAGGCCAGGCUUCUCCUUGGGCAAAGUUACAUUCUUCACUGUGCAAUAUGCCUCACAUUUUAGGCUGUUCUCCAAAGGUCUCACCAAACCCAUCAUUUCCAAACGAGAGAAACGGGAAAUCUAGUGCUGUUUCCACAGUUUAAGACCCGGCAAAAGGAAAGGAUUUUUGGAUGGUUUAGUCAGGACAAGUAUGUUUUCAAGGAGCAAAAUCCCCUUAAGUCAAUUUCAAGCUGAUGUGUGUGUGUGCAUGUUUGUGUGUGUAUUCAGUGGAACUGAAUCCCUAAAGUAUGGAAAUCUCUUAUUAACAUCCUCACUCUACUUUCCUCCUAUGACAAAAUUGUUUUCAGUAAUAAUCUUUUAAUAAUUUAGUAACUGUUAUGUUUCAUUUGUUCUUUUGUUUUUAAACAAUCUACAAUUAAAGUACAAUAAUACAUUUCAUUUUUGAGGCUAUUAUUCAAAUUCAGUAGAAAUAUUUCAGACCUAAAAUUGGAACUUACCAAACAAGAACAUCAGAGGGGUGCCUGAGUGGCUGUCAGUUGAACAGCCAACUCUUGAUUUCAGUUCAGGGUCCUGGAAUACAGCCCCGCCUCAGGCCCUGUGCUGAGGGUGGAGGCUGCUUAAGAUUCUCUCCCCUCUCUCCCCCUCCCUCUCUCCCUCCCUCUCCCCUGUCCCCUGCUUACAUGCGAACACACACUCUCUAUCUCUAAAACUCUUAAAAUUAAAAAAAAAAAAAACCAGGAACAUUACACAACACAGCUCUCUCCCAUUCACUGAAUGGACACAAAUAAAACAGUUGAAAAUUCUAAGUGGUCACAGAAAAUGACAGAAUUAAAUAACUCUGUCCUCUUUAUUUUGUUACAAUCACUACGCUAUUACUCUUUAUUUUAAAUCUAUUGUUUAAAUAGAGACAUAGACUAUCACAAGGUUGAAGUUGCACAUUACACCUUCUUUAAGUGCUAAUGAAUCCAAAAUAUGACAAACGAGCUCUCCAAGUAAGUGCAUAUAGAUAAGUCUAUGGGUUUUGGGGAUUGACUCUAUAAUUGGGAGUUCUCCGAAUUCUCUUCUGUGUAGACUACAAUGGUUAUUAAAUAAGAAGUACUAAGAAUGUGUUAAUUUGAAGCUUACAUAUCUAAUAUUAAACUCAACAGUGUCUGAAGCAAUUGUUUAGAAUAUUGACCAACACAAGAUUUUAUAUGUGUGCGUGUGUGUGUGGAAUUUAGAAUUGUGGAGGGGAAGCAGAAUUUUCUAUCUCUUUAAACUUUCAGUCAUUUCUUUUAUGUAGCACAAAAAAAAAAAGAUGUUUUUUUUUCCCUCAGUGUCAUUGAGCUGUGGAAUCCACUCUGAUAUUCUUUCCUCGCCUGGGGUGGGAUAGCUUCUGAGGAGGGGCUAGGAUUGCUUAUGUGUUGCUGCAGAAUAUUCACUGAUGCUAUUUACAGUCCUAAUUAAAUGGAAGAUUAUUAGAAACGGGAAGGGGACUAUAAAUAGUUUGGUCCAUUUUAUCUGUUUCUUCAGUAUGUGGGAAGAACAUCGCUGAGCUCCUCCCUUGAAGUUCAGUUAACUCAGGAUGUGUUCUGCCUUUGUUAUUUUGCUUUGGCUUUUUAAAAAAUCUCCUGAUGCUGAUCAAAGUGGGGGAAAAAAAACCAAAGAGGAAUCACUCUUCAACAUUGUAGAAUAUGGACAGAAGGAAAGUGAAAUGAAAUGGGGUGGGGAGGGGUGUGAGUGGCAUAAGAAAAAAAAAAAACAUGGGCCUAAUCCUUUCUGACAACGUUUUUUUUUUUUUCCCCCUCAAAACAUCUAAAAAUAAAUCUUAUUUUCAGGUCUGUGAAAAAUUGGUUCACUUCACCCAGCCAUAAUGGGAUCAACCAAUCUGUUCAGAGAGCAGGGCACUCAGCCUCCUUUGGACAAGGUGCCAGACUCAUCUGCUAAAGUUCAGCUGUGAUGUCAUCUCUUCAAAAGCUUUCAGCAUGUCUUGGUUACGUGGUUAAAAUUUCAGUUUCCUUAACAUGCGUUUAAGGCAACCAUGAUCGUCUUCUAACCCAUAUAUUAACCCUAAGUCCUCCACUUCUCCUUGACUCAGUGGGUUCUAGUCCCAGAGGUUUACAAACAUUGCCCAGACUCUGGAUGUUUAGUUAUUGCC